AUUCUGUAGGAAAGGCUAGUCCAGACAGCUGGGUCAGGGCAGCUAAUGUUGCCAGUGAAGUGUGCACACCUCCUCUUCUCCCUCAGCCAUGGGACUGCUCAGGUCUGGGAACAGCUGCCUUGUGGAGAGACUACAUUCUCCAAGCUUCUCUUGCAGCUAGGAAUGACCCCCUGAGCUGUGAGCAUAAACUGUAGGAGGGGCUGCCGGGAACAUCUCUGCAGGAUCCCGUCCUUCCUACAUUCUGCCCGGAACUCAGAUGUCUAGAGCUGCAGAGACCAUCUUGACCCCAGGGGCAACGCUUCACGCUUCACGCAUAGUAGCAAACCCAAAAGACAAAAGGCAUUGAGUCCCGUUGGCGGCAGAGGCGGAGCCUCAGUCCUGAUGGCGGAGGAGGAGCCUCACCGGUCCUUGCUGACCCUGCUCUGCACUUGUUUGUGUGAAGAAAAGAAAUCCCUGUUCAUUGAGACCUUUGUCACUCGGUUUCCUGUUACUGGCAGCUGAAUACAUUUCUGACACAUUUGCUCAAACAGCGCGG
rnacentral:lncRNA from 1 species